AUGGGUCUCAAUUCUAUGGGGCUCCACCCCAUGGCUCUCCAUUCUAUGGGGCUCUAUCCCCUGGAUUUCCACCCCAUAGAGUUCCUCUGCCCCACAGAUCUCUGUCCCACAGGACUCCGUCCAAUGACUCUCUGCCCCAUACAUUUCUGCCCCAUAGGUCUUUGCCCCAUAGGGCUGUGUCUCAUGGCUCUCUGCCCCAUAGAUCUCCAUCCCAUGGCUCUUCACCCCAUAGGGCUCCUCUGCCCCACAGAUCUUCAUCACAUGGGUCUCUGUUCCAUCGAUCUCCAUCCCAUGGGGCUCCAUCCCGUGGCUCUUCGAUCUGGAGGACUCAAUCCUGUAUCGCUCUGCCCCAUAGAUCUCCUCCGUCCCACAGCUCUCCAUCCCACAUGUCUCUGCCCCACAUCCCCCCACCCCAUAGCCCUCCUCCGCCCCCCAGCUCUCUGCCCCACAGCUCUCCUCUGCCCCGCAUCCCCCAGCCCCACAGCUCCCCACCCCAUAGAUCUCCUCUGCCCCACAUCUCCCUGCCCCACAGCUCUCCAUCCUGCCUCUCUCUGCCCCACAUCCUCCAGCCCCACAGCUCCCCGCCCCACAUCCCCCCGCCCCAUAGAUCUCUGCCCCACAUCCCCCCCCCCGGCUGUGCGCGGCGCAGCGGUGCAGGAGGAGCCGCACGGUGAUGGGGAUGGUGCUGAGGAUCCGGCGCAGCUGCGCCCCAUCGGAGGGAACGAAUCGGCACAGCGCCCCCUGGGGGUCGUGCAGGGAGCGCAGCGCCGCCCGCACGCAGCGCCGCGUCUGCCGCUCCGCAACCCGCACCCAUGGGUGCUCCUCGGGGUGUGGGUGCUCCCCAUGGUGCAGUGGGUGCUCCUCAUGGUGUGGGUGCUCCUCNUAUGGGGGAGGGUUGUGGGGGGGGGUUAUGGGGCCGGGCUGUACUGGGGACAUGGGGACAGCGUAUGGGGCGCAGCAGUGCCCACCACCCAAUGCGCAGCUGCCCCAGGGCUUCCUACACCCCAUAUCCCACCCCAUAUCCCAUCCCUACCCCAUAGCUUAUGUCCAACCCCACCUCACACCCCAUAG
rnacentral:lncRNA from 1 species